rnacentral:rRNA from 1 species
UACGAAGGGGGCUAGCGUUGUUCGGAAUUACUGGGCGUAAAGCGCACGUAGGCGGAUUGCUAAGUCAGGGGUGAAAUCCUGGAGCUCAACUCCAGAACUGCCCUUGAUACUGGCGGUCUCGAGUCCGGGAGAGGUGAGUGGAACUGCGAGUGUAGAGGUGAAAUUCGUAGAUAUUCGCAAGAACACCAGUGGCGAAGGCGGCUCACUGGCCCGGUACUGACGCUGAGGUGCGAAAGCGUGGGGAGCAACAGG